rnacentral:rRNA from 1 species
ACAUGCAGUCGAGCGGAUGAGAGGAGCUUGCUCCUGGAUUCAGCGGCGGACGGGUGAGUAAUGCCUAGGAAUCUGCCUGGUAGUGGGGGACAACGUUUCGAAAGGAACGCUAAUACCGCAUACGUCCUACGGGAGAAAGCAGGGGACCUUCGGGCCUUGCGCUAUCAGAUGAGCCUAGGUCGGAUUAGCUAGUUGGUGAGGUAAUGGCUCACCAAGGCGACGAUCCGUAACUGGUCUGAGAGGAUGAUCAGUCACACUGGAACUGAGACACGGUCCAGACUCCUACGGGAGGCAGCAGUGGGGAAUAUUGGACAAUGGGCGAAAGCCUGAUCCAGCCAUGCCGCGUGUGUGAAGAAGGUCUUCGGAUUGUAAAGCACUUUAAGUUGGGAGGAAGGGCAGUAACUUAAUACGUUGCUGUUUUGACGUUACCGACAGAAUAAGCACCGGCUAACUCUGUGCCAGCAGCCGCGGUAAUACAGAGGGUGCAAGCGUUAAUCGGAAUUACUGGGCGUAAAGCGCGCGUAGGUGGUUCGUUAAGUUGGAUGUGAAAUCCCCGGGCUCAACCUGGGAACUGCAUUCAU